rnacentral:lncRNA from 1 species
CCGGAAAAAUGAGAACGACUCGGUUGAGCCGUUGGAUACUCUAGCUUCAGUUGCUGCAAGGUUCGACUCAACACCUUCAGAGCUUGCAAUUUUGAAUAAAACCGCACAUCCUCUGUCAUCUUCCCGGUCAAGUCAUCAAGGUUCCAGAUAAAUCAAAGAAGAAGGAACACAAGCAAAGCUCCAGUGAUGGAAACACAGUGGAGGAAGGGUUCGAAGAAGAAAGUAGCGAAGCCGGAAGUACCAAAGAUCAGGAUGAGUCCGACUCUACAAGAAGACUAUCUUCGGAUAAGGAUACUGCUCAGGAACAAGAAGAGGAAUCAGACAUGCGGGACAGUUUGAGGCCAUCUUCUCCUAAACCUCAUCUAGAACAAGUCAAAGCUCCUUCAGCAAGGGGUAUCAGAUCGUCGCCUGCAUCUGUGAACGGUUCCUUAAAAUCAACGUCAAGCAUAUCACGGAUGGACAGGUAAUUAUAAUUUUAUUUCGUAACUAAAGCAGAGCCAUAUGUUCUACAGCAAAGUCAACUUGGUUCAAAUCAUG